rnacentral:rRNA from 1 species
GACGAACGCUGGCGGCGUGCUUAACACAUGCAAGUCGAACGGUAAGGCUCCAGCUUGCUGGGGUACACGAGUGGCGAACGGGUGAGUAACACGUGGGUGACCUGCCCUGCACUUCGGGAUAAGCCUGGGAAACUGGGUCUAAUACCGGAUAGGACCGCACCGUGAGGGUGUGGUGGAAAGUUUUUUUCGGUGUGGGAUGGGCCCGCGGCCUAUCAGCUUGUUGGUGGGGUAAUGGCCUACCAAGGCGGCGACGGGUAGCCGGCCUGAGAGGGUGGACGGCCACAUUGGGACUGAGACACGGCCCAGACUCCUACGGGAGGCAGCAGUGGGGAAUAUUGCACAAUGGGCGGAAGCCUGAUGCAGCGACGCCGCGUGGGGGAUGACGGCCUUCGGGUUGUAAACUCCUUUCACCAUCGACGAAGGGUUUCUGACGGUAGAUGGAGAAGAAGCACCGGCUAACUACGUG